GAUGAACGCUGGCGGCGUGCCUAAUACAUGCAAGUCGAGCGAACGGACGAGAAGCUUGCUUCUCUGAUGUUAGCGGCGGACGGGUGAGUAACACGUGGAUAACCUACCUAUAAGACUGGGAUAACUUCGGGAAACCGGAGCUAAUACCGGAUAAUAUUUUGAACCGCAUGGUUCAAAAGUGAAAGACGGUCUUGCUGUCACUUAUAGAUGGAUCCGCGCUGCAUUAGCUAGUUGGUAAGGUAACGGCUUACCAAGGCAACGAUGCAUAGCCGACCUGAGAGGGUGAUCGGCCACACUGGAACUGAGACACGGUCCAGACUCCUACGGGAGGCAGCAGUAGGGAAUCUUCCGCAAUGGGCGAAAGCCUGACGGAGCAACGCCGCGUGAGUGAUGAAGGUCUUCGGAUCGUAAAACUCUGUUAUUAGGGAAGAACAUAUGUGUAAGUAACUGUGCACAUCUUGACGGUACCUAAUCAGAAAGCCACGGCUAACUACGUGCCAGCAGCCGCGGUAAUACGUAGGUGGCAAGCGUUAUCCGGAAUUAUUGGGCGUAAAGCGCGCGUAGGCGGUUUUUUAAGUCUGAUGUGAAAGCCCACGGCUCAACCGUGGAGGGUCAUUGGAAACUGGAAAACUUGAGUGCAGAAGAGGAAAGUGGAAUUCCAUGUGUAGCGGUGAAAUGCGCAGAGAUAUGGAGGAACACCAGUGGCGAAGGCGACUUUCUGGUCUGUAACUGACGCUGAUGUGCGAAAGCGUGGGGAUCAAACAGGAUUAGAUACCCUGGUAGUCCACGCCGUAAACGAUGAGUGCUAAGUGUUAGGGGGUUUCCGCCCCUUAGUGCUGCAGCUAACGCAUUAAGCACUCCGCCUGGGGAGUACGACCGCAAGGUUGAAACUCAAAGGAAUUGACGGGGACCCGCACAAGCGGUGGAGCAUGUGGUUUAAUUCGAAGCAACGCGAAGAACCUUACCAAAUCUUGACAUCCUUUGACAACUCUAGAGAUAGAGCCUUCCCCUUCGGGGGACAAAGUGACAGGUGGUGCAUGGUUGUCGUCAGCUCGUGUCGUGAGAUGUUGGGUUAAGUCCCGCAACGAGCGCAACCCUUAAGCUUAGUUGCCAUCAUUAAGUUGGGCACUCUAAGUUGACUGCCGGUGACAAACCGGAGGAAGGUGGGGAUGACGUCAAAUCAUCAUGCCCCUUAUGAUUUGGGCUACACACGUGCUACAAUGGACAAUACAAAGGGCAGCGAAACCGCGAGGUCAAGCAAAUCCCAUAAAGUUGUUCUCAGUUCGGAUUGUAGUCUGCAACUCGACUACAUGAAGCUGGAAUCGCCAGUAAUCGUAGAUCAGCAUGCUACGGUGAAUACGUUCCCGGGUCU
rnacentral:rRNA from 1 species